CUCCUUUUCAUUUGUUUUCAAGGUUUGCUCUUACCCUUGCGUCUUUCUUACAAACAAUAAAUGUUACAAAUAAUCUUUCGCCCCAUUUUCCCCUAGAACUCACUGCUAUGCUUAAGUUUGUGGCUGUUCUCAAACUACUGUUUUCAGUAAAUGCUUAUGUGUAUGCAUAAAGUGGUGAUUUUGUUUUUAAUACAUACAUAUUUACUCUUAACAACUGUUUUAUUUUAGGUUUGGGGGAUUGAACCUAGGGCGUUAGCACUCAGCUACAUCCCUAGCCCUUUUUACUUUUUUGUUUGGAGGCAAGGUCUCACUAAAUUGAGCUCCUGAUCCUCUUGCCUCAGCCUCCCUCGGUGCUGGGACUACAGACCCAUUCCACUGUCAAGAUCUCCCAUGCAGUAUGGACUACAGAACUAUCCAGAGAAGUUAAACAACUUGGACAAGGUCACACCCACGUCAGAUGAUGGAGCCCAGAUUAGACUGGAGAGCUGAUUCUCAAGUGUAUGCUCAUGAUACGGUGAAUAAAUAUUUGGUGGAAUCUCUGGUGUGAAAAGAGUGCAUUUUGUAAGUCAAUCAGGUUGAUUGGUGCCUGGGGUCCCCUAGAGAGCUUCAGGAUGGGAACUGGUGGGUGAGAAAGACCAAGGCAUAAUUAGUUGAGACUUUCAACCUCACCUACCAAUUUCUGUUAUCACCAAUGGCCAACGAUGUAAUUAAUCAUGCAGAAUGUAAUGAAGCCUCUAUAAAACUCAGAAGGAGGGGGUUCAAAUGAGCUUUCAGGUGGCUGAACAUGUAGAAGAUCCUGGAGGGUAGCAAAUCCAGAGUAUAAAGCUGUGUCCCUUUCUACUAUCUGGUCCUAUACGUCUCCUCCUCCCCCUGUCCAUCUGUAUCCUGUUUCGUCCUUUAUAAUAAGUGGGUAAAUGUGAGUAGAGCCUCUCCCUGAGUUCUGUGAGCUGUCCAGACAAUCAGUCACACCUGACAAGGGGUCAUGGGAAAUUUUAUAGUCUGCUGGUCCGAAGCAGACCACAAUCCAUGCUAGCAACUGGCAUCUGAAGUGGGAGGCAGUUUUGUGGGACCUGUCUCUCAACCUGUGGGAUUUGACACUAUCUUUAGGUCAGAAAUGAGCUGAACUGGAGGACACACUGCCGGUGUCCACUAAAUAAUCUGCAGACAAAAAUUUCUUGUUGGUGUGGAGAAAUCCCCACACACAUUUGGUGAUGGAAGUAUGUUAAAUGCUGUGUGGUAAUAGGAACAAAAAGCACUUUACUUCUGCUUUUUUUUUUCUUUUUUUGUUUUGUUUCUUCUCAAGACAGGGUCUUACUUGGUAGUCCCGGCUGGCCUUGAAUUUGCAAUCCUCCUCUCUCAACCUUCUGAGUGCUAGGAUUAUAGGGGCAGGCUCAAGCCUGACUCUUCCCUUUAUCUGUAAUAUUCCUUCCAUUGCAUCACAUUGCCUCCUCAGAAAAAGCCCUGGGAAUGAGAAAGGACCUCUGCUUUAACAUGUGUCACUUGAUUCACUUGUGGUGAUGAUGAUGAGGUAAGAAGAGGAAAGAAAAACAUUAUGAGAAAAUAUUUAAAAUUUAGUUUGGCCAUACAUAAAUAGCAGUCAUUCUUCAGAAGGACUUCUACCAUAAGUCUAAUUACUAUGGAACACAAUGAUACUUCCUGUAUCAUUAAUAAACAUGUAUGUAUGCAAGCAUGUGUUUACUCAAUGUUUUAGGUGAUUCUGACAUUAAUUAAUUUCUGUAUAUAUUCAGUGUACAUUUAAUAUCCAGGUCAUAAGGUCUUCUGGGCAUCAAAAUAUGAAACUGUAUCAAGUCUGGAGAUAUAUCAUCACUGUACUUAACAUAAAAAUAUUGGUUUGGGAAAUUUCUAACUUUUCAACCAAAAAAAUUCCACAAAAGUACUUUUUUCCCCUGGGAAAUUUGAAUUCUUAUAAAAUUUGCAUGGAGAACAAGGAGCAAAAGAACUUUCUCAAGUCACUUUUAAAAAACA
ensembl:lncRNA